UGAUUUUCUUCCUUCUUCUGUUUUCUUAUCAAGUUCUUGUUCUUGUUCAUGUUCUGUGUAAUAAUUUGUUGUUACUUCUAUUUUGUUUCAUCGAGACGAAGUCUCGUUGGUUUCAAACAUGAAGCAGAAAAGUGGAUAGAGGUUGUCUCUUGGGUUGAAGCCAAAGAAGGAAGUUUAUAUAUAUUACACAAACUAAAAUGAAAGAAAGAAGUUAGGAUUAUAUAUAGAGACUCUUUUCUUGUAUGUAUCUGUUUAAUCUUCUCUUUUGUCUUCGUUUUUUUAUCAGUAUAUAAAUAGAUCUGAAGAAGGUUGUCUGUUUCUUAUCUUUUAUUGCUUCUUAUAUAUUUUUCUUCUACCUUUUUUUCUCUCAAGGUAUUGUUAUGACGAGCAAAGACAUGUUACUUCAUCAGCAAGUACAACAACAACAAGAGGAGAAUAUGUCGAAUCUAACAUCUUCUGGGGAUCAAGCAAGUGUCUCUUCAGGAAACAGAACUGAAGCAAGUGGUUCUAAUUUCUUCCAUCAUCAACAACAACAAGAAGAACAACAACAGUUCUUUGUUCCGGAACCUCAGCCUCAAAAGAAGAGGAGAAACCAACCAGGGAAUCCAGACCCCGAGUCAGAAGUGAUUGCUUUGUCACCAAAAACACUGAUGGCAACAAACAGGUUCGUCUGUGAGAUCUGCAACAAAGGAUUCCAAAGAGAUCAGAAUCUACAACUUCACAGAAGAGGUCACAAUCUGCCAUGGAAGCUAAAACAACGAUCCAACAAAGAAGUGAUAAGGAAGAAAGUGUAUGUAUGUCCUGAAACAAGCUGUGUCCACCAUGAUCCAUCUCGAGCUCUCGGUGACUUAACCGGAAUCAAGAAGCAUUUCUCCAGAAAGCACGGAGAGAAGAAGUGGAAAUGUGAUAAAUGUUCAAAGAAAUAUGCUGUUCAAUCAGAUUGCAAGGCUCAUUCUAAGACUUGUGGCACCAAAGAAUACAGAUGUGACUGUGGCACUCUCUUUUCUAGGAGGGAUAGUUACAUAACUCAUAGAGCAUUUUGUUUAGCACUGGCAGAAGAGACAGCAAGAGAAGUAGUAACACCACAAGACCAGAAUCAUCAACCAAACCCUCUAAUGAUUCACCAAUCGUCUCAUCAUCAUCAUCAAGCACAACCAAACAUGAACAUCUCUUCCUCAUCUUCCUCUUCCCACAACAUCAUCAAUACUCUUCACUUCGAAACCAACGUUAAUGUGACUAAUAAUUGUGAGAGUAGCAGCAACCAUCCCCAUACAUUUCCCAUGAAGAUAGAGCAACAACAAACCGGUGAUCAAAUCAUCAAUUACCACCACCAUGGCGUCCCUCCUUGGCUUGCUCCUCAGCCGCAAGAUCGCACUUCUUCAAACCCUAACCCUAGUAAUGGUGGUGGAGGAGGAGGAGGUUUGUUCUCUCUUGCAGCUUCUCCGGUUAUGUCAGCCACAGCAUUACUCCAGAAAGCAGCCCAAAUGGGUUCCACAAGAACAACUCCUUUGCCACCAACCACCGACUUCGAGAGGUCUCAUAACACCCUCACCACGACAAUGGCGUCGAUGAUGACCUCACCGUCGGGAUUCAUCAGCUCAAACAACAACAAUCAAGUCUUGUUUCAAGACUACAACGCCUCCGGGUUUAACCAUCAUCACGGUGGAGGAGAAGCCUUCGACAACACAUUCAGCGAGCUCUUCAGGACAAACGCUGAUACUACAUCAGACAAGAAUAAAAGCGGUGAAGGCGGUGGAGGAAGAGAGGGUUUGACGAGAGACUUCUUGGGGCUAAGACCGUUAAUGUCUCAUAACGAAAUUCUAAGUUUUGCCGGUCUCGGGAAUUGCAUUAACGACGCUGCUUCCGAUCAGCUUCAUCCAAAGCCUUGGCAGGGUAACUGAAACCUAAAAGAGAAGUGAAAAGGUAAAGUGAAAGAAAGAUUGGUAUAUAAGAAAUUAAUUAUGAAAUGAGGCACAUGAAAGCAUAAAGUAAGGAGGAUAUGCAUUGGAUUCGAUAUAAGGGACGCAAGUGGGAUCCAACAAAAGAUAGGGACGCGCAUCAAGUUUUGCUAGGUGGCGUGUAUGAAACAUAUGUACAUCAGUACAUGUCACACAUGGCCACAACUUUAUAAUAUGCUAUUGUUGAUUACACGUUGAAACGUUCAUUCAAAUGAUGAUUAAUUAGUUUGCAAUUCA